UCCUUCGUUAGCUCAGCUGGUAGAGCGGAGGACUGUAGAUCCUUAGGUCGCUGGUUCAAUUCUGGCUCGAAGGAA